GCACGACCACUGUGACGUCACAUCCCUUAAUAAUUAUAUUUUUACACUAUACACGUUUCACAACUAUAAUUUGAACACCUGUGUACCAUAAAUAAAUAUAUUUUUACACUAUACACAAGUGAAUCAUGUUGUGUCAUUUACAUGACGGGUAAAUUAAAUGAACAUGUCUUGAUUAGGUAUGACAUACUUUGGACAAGGAAGAGACCUGCAGAUAAAUAACACAAUUAAACAAACAAGUACUGAAAUAUAAGUGUUCCGCAUUAAGCUUGCUAGUAAGGAAAUUAUCAGGAGAUGGCUUGCUAGCUUUCACCUCUAGAUCACCCCCAUGGCAACUUGAUACAUCAGAGCAAGAAAACAUUCCCCAAUGGUUACAAACCUUCGGUGCAAAAUGACAUUCAUGGGAUCUGAAGGCAUCACUAAGAAAUAUCAGGUUCUAUAUGAGUCUGACUUAUUAAAGAACAAAGAGCAAUGAAGAAAAGUGCAGUACAUUAAAUCAAGGCCAAAUGAUACAUUGCAUGCAUCAGCGAGCAGAAAAAUAAAUGGUGUCUAAUAUUAUAUUUUCCCCUUCCAAUAGAGAGACUCCUUCUACAUGUUUAACCAGUGAUUAAUUCCGGUUACACCAAAUAAACAUAGUUCUAAAUGCUACCAACAUUUUUUAUGAAACAAAGGACAACCAAAAUUAACUCCCCUCGCGUGGAAACUUGAUGUCCUUUCAACUCUGAAAUUCCACCAAAGGUAAGCAUACAAUAAUUUUAUAGUGUAUAAUUAUACAAAAGAAGAACAUGUUACGUGUGUAGAUAGCGCAAGGUGGCAUAUUAUCAUUGAGAGCAUAUAUUAGCACAUAGUGUGAUGAAAAUUGGAACCAUAUGUACUGUCAGCAUGUCUUUCUCCUUAUUCUGUAUAUCAUCAUUUCCUCUACACUUGACAUGAUAGCUUGAGAAAAAAAAGAUGAGUAUCCAGAUAUGUACAUAGUUAUGGCUAGAUUCCUUGUUUUGUCCAAGAAAGAUAAGUCAUGAGCCCAUCAUCUUAUUACAGCAAGGCACAUCUCUAUCAGUGGUGCAAGAGGUGUAAAUUUUAUAUUUUCUUUUCAAGAAAAAACCCCUGGCAAUAUUAAACAUCAUGAUGUAACAAAUUACAAAUAUUAGUGUUAACAUAGGUUAAUAUCUAUUACUUAUGUGUGGUGCAGUUCAAUAAACCAUGAAAAAAAUUUGAAUUAUUCCUAACUAUCACCAUCAGAUCUAGGUCAAUAAAAGUUGUAGUCACAGCCUGAGCCAGAACUUUGGAUUGAGAAGGGAUUGGGAAACCCUCAAAGGAAGGAAGAAGCUCAC
rnacentral:lncRNA from 1 species